rnacentral:rRNA from 1 species
GUCGAGGGGUAGAAGCAGCUUGCUGCUUUGAGACCGGCGCACGGGUGCGUAACGCGUAUACAAUCUACCUUUUACAGAGGGAUAGCCCAGAGAAAUUUGGAUUAAUACCUCAUAGUAUUUUCGAAUCGCAUGAUUUGAUUAUUAAAGUUCCAACGGUAAAAGAUGAGUAUGCGUCCCAUUAGCUAGAUGGUAAGGUAACGGCUUACCAUGGCAACGAUGGGUAGGGGUCCUGAGAGGGAGAUCCCCCACACUGGUACUGAGACACGGACCAGACUCCUACGGGAGGCAGCAGUGAGGAAUAUUGGACAAUGGGCGCAAGCCUGAUCCAGCCAUGCCGCGUGCAGGAAGACGGUCCUAUGGAUUGUAAACUGCUUUUAUACAGGAAGAAACACCUCUACGUGUAGAGACUUGACGGUACUGUAUGAAUAAGCAUCGGCUAACUCCGUGCCAGCAGCCGCGGUAAUACGGAGGAUGCAAGCGUUAUCCGGAAUCAUUGGGUUUAAAGGGUCCGUAGGCGGCCAAAUAAGUCAGUGGUGAAAGCCCAUCGCUCAACGAUGGAACGGCCAUUGAUACUGUUUGGCUUGAAUUAUUAGGAAGUAACUAGAAUAUGUAGUGUAGCGGUGAAAUGCUUAGAGAUUACAUGGAAUACCAAUUGCGAAGGCAGGUUACUACUAAUAUAUUGACGCUGAUGGACGAAAGCGUGGGGAGCGAACAGGAUUAGAUACCCUGGUAGUCCACGCCGUAAACGAU